GAGGAGAGACCCGGAGCCUCCCGACUGCGUUCCUGCUCCUGGUUCCCAUUGUCCCGGCCCCUGCGCCCUCCCGUCCUGCUGGUGAAACGGCUAGAUGCCAAAACACCUCUCCUCUGGUCCAAGCUGCUUCUGCACCUGUUUGGGGAUAAUGCUGAUCUCCCAGGGUUGCUGCCGGCAACGUGCAACCUGUUUACUCAGAUAACCCACAUCGGGUUUCCAGCCCAGGCCUGGCACAUAUGGAGAACUCGGCAUAUGUCAGCUCCAGCUGCUGCAUUAAAGAAUAUUUGAUGCCCAGGAAAGAAAAAGGCUCCUGGAAAAUGGGGCAGUGGAAACUUCUCCCACUGUAGCUGCAGCAGGCACUUUGGGUGAGCAUACUUGUAGGCAUUUUGUGGGAGGCAGUUUUCAAAAGCAUUAUUCAUUCAUUCCAUAAAUAUUUAUGGAGCACUUGGAGCUCCCUUCGGGGCUCAGUGGAUAAUGAACCCAACUAGGAUCCAUGAGGAUUCGGGUUCAAUCCCUGAUCCUUAACCCACUGAACAAGGACAGGGAUUGAACCCACAGCCUCAUGGUUCCUAGUCAGAUUCGUUAACCACUGUGCCACGACGGGAACUCUUACAUAUUAUGGAGCACCUAUUUUGAUCCAGCCACUGGGCAAGGCACUAGGAUGGUUAAAGGCACUAGCAUCUCUGACAUUCCUUUUUAAUGCUUGACUCUGAGCAGGUGCAAAGGGGAACAGAGGAGCCAAAGCAGUUCAAGUCUGUGCCCAUGAAAGCAUUGGCAUAGCUAAGACAGUGAAUCUGGGAGCACCCUGAGAUGAAAACCAUCUCCAGCAGCAGUGCCACCAUGACUCAAGGAAGUCAUCUCUGCGGUGUCCUGAUAUGUUCCAGGAUGGAAUCCGGACUGGUGAAGGUGACCCAUAAACAGGACAGUGGAGGGAGAGAGUGCAGACCUGGACAGGCCACCCUCGCCACUUGCCUCGCCCAUCACAGGGAUUCUCCUAAGACCCAGUGUCCGGCCAGCUGCUGGUGCUCUGUGGGUGAUGCUGGUAUAUCCUAAUAAUAAUGGGUAAUGGCUGGAAUUCCCUGGUGGCCUAGCGGUUAAGGAUACAGUGUCGUCACUGUUGUGGCACAGGUUUAAUCCCUGGCCUGGGAACUUUAUGCUGUGGGUGUGGCCAAAAAAAAAAAAAAAA
rnacentral:lncRNA from 1 species